rnacentral:rRNA from 1 species
AGUGAACGCUGGCGGUAGGCCUAACACAUGCAAGUCGAACGGCAGCACAGUAAGAGCUUGCUCUUACGGGUGGCGAGUGGCGGACGGGUGAGGAAUACAUCGGAAUCUACUUUUUCGUGGGGGAUAACGUAGGGAAACUUACGAUAAUACCUCAUACGACCUACGGGUGAAAGCAGUGGAUCUUCGGACCUUGCGCGACUGAAUGAGACGAUGCCGGAUUAGCUAGUUGGCGGGGUAAAGGCCCACCAAGGCGACGAUACGUAGCUGGUCUGAGAGGAUGAUCAGCCACACUGGAACUGAGACACGGUCCAGACUCCUACGGGAGGCAGCAGUGGGGAAUAUUGGGCAAUGGGCGCAAGCCUGACCCAGCCACACCGCGUGGGUGAAGAAGGUCUUCGGGUUGUAAAGCUCUUUUGUUGGGAAAGAAAAGCAGCAGAUUUAUCCCCGGCUGUUUUGACGGUACCCAAACAAUAAGCACCGGCUAACUUCGUG